rnacentral:rRNA from 1 species
AGUGAACGCUGGCGGUAGGCCUAACACAUGCAAGUCGAACGGCAGCACAGUAAGAGCUUGCUCUUACGGGUGGCGAGUGGCGGACGGGUGAGGAAUACAUCGGAAUCUACUUUUUCGUGGGGGAUAACGUAGGGAAACUUACGCUAAUACCGCAUACGACCUACGGGUGAAAGCAGGGGAUCUUCGGACCUUGCGCGAUUGAAUGAGCCGAUGUCGGAUUAGCUAGUUGGCGGGGUAAAGGCCCACCAAGGCGACGAUCCGUAGCUGGUCUGAGAGGAUGAUAAGCAACACUGGAACUGAGACACGGUCCAGACUCCUGAGGGAGGCAGCAGUGGGGAAUAUUGGACAAUGGGCGCAAGCCUGAUCCAGCCAUACCGCGUGGGUGAAGAAGGCCUUCGGGUUGUAAAGCCCUUUUGUUGGGAAAGAAAAGCAGCAGGUUAAUACCCCGCUGUUCUGACGGUACCCAAAGAAUAAGCACCGGCUAACUUCGUG